rnacentral:rRNA from 1 species
CUACGGGGGGCUCCAGUCGGGAAACUUUUGCAAUGCGCGAAAGCGUGACAAAGCAAGCCAGAGUGUUCCUCUUAAUAGAGAAACUUUUGCCAGCUGCAAAAAGGCUGGCGAAUAAGGACCGGGCAAGACCGGUGCCAGCCGCCGCGGUAAUCCCGGCGGUCCAAGUCGCCGCCACAUUUAUUGGGUCUAAAACAUCCGUAGCUUGUUUUGCAAGUCUCUUGUGAAAUCUUAUAUCUUAAGUAUAAGGCACGCAAGAGAUACUGCAUUGCUAGAGACCGGAAGACGCAGCGAGUACAUCUAAGGUAGUGGUAAAAUACGUUAAUCUUGGUUGGACUAACAAUGGCGAAGGCACGCUGCGAGGACGGAUCUGACAGUGAGGGAUGAAGGCCAGGGGCGCAAAAUGGAUUAGAUACCCUUGUAGUC